rnacentral:rRNA from 1 species
GCGAUACAGGGUGACAGCCCCGUACACAAAAAUGCACAUGCUGUGAGCUCGAUGAGUAGGGCGGGACACGUGGUAUCCUGUCUGAAUAUGGGGGGACCAUCCUCCAAGGCUAAAUACUCCUGACUGACCGAUAGUGAACCAGUACCGUGAGGGAAAGGCGAAAAGAACCCCGGCGAGGGGAGUGAAAAAGAACCUGAAACCGUGUACGUACAAGCAGUGGGAGCACGCUUAGGCGUGUGACUGCGUACCUUUUGUAUAAUGGGUCAGCGACUUAUAUUCUGUAGCAAGGUUAACCGAAUAGGGGAGCCGAAGGGAAACCGAGUCUUAACUGGGCGUUAAGUUGCAGGGUAUAGACCCGAAACCCGGUGAUCUAGCCAUGGGCAGGUUGAAGGUUGGGUAACACUAACUGGAGGACCGAACCGACUAAUGUUGAAAAAUUAGCGGAUGACUUGUGGCUGGGGGUGAAAGGCCAAUCAAACCGGGAGAUAGCUGGUUCUCCCCGAAAGCUAUUUAGGUAGCGCCUCGUGAAUUCAUCUCCGGGGGUAGAGCACUGUUUCGGCAAGGGGGUCAUCCCGACUUACCAACCCGAUGCAAACUGCGAAUACCGGAGAAUGUUAUCACGGGAGACACACGGCGGGUGCUAACGUCCGUCGUGAAGAGGGAAACAACCCAGACCGCCAGCUAAGGUCCCAAAGUCAUGGUUAAGUGGGAAACGAUGUGGGAAGGCCCAGACAGCCAGGAUGUUGGCUUAGAAGCAGCCAUCAUUUAAAGAAAGCGUAAUAGCUCACUGGUCGAGUCGGCCUGCGCGGAAGAUGUAACGGGGCUAAACCAUGCACCGAAGCUGCGGCAGCGACGCUGAUGCGUUGUUGGGUAGGGGAGCGUUCUGUAAGCCUGCGAAGGUGUGCUGUGAGGCAUGCUGGAGGUAUCAGAAGUGCGAAUGCUGACAUAAGUAACGAUAAAGCGGGUGAAAAGCCCGCUCGCCGGAAGACCAAGGGUUCCUGUCCAACGUUAAUCGGGGCAGGGUGAGUCGACCCCUAAGGCGAGGCCGAAAGGCGUAGUCGAUGGGAAACAGGUUAAUAUUCCUGUACUUGGUGUUACUGCGAAGGGGGGACGGAGAAGGCUAUGUUGGCCGGGCGACGGUUGUCCCGGUUUAAGCGUGUAGGCUGGUUUUCCAGGCAAAUCCGGAAAAUCAAGGCUGAGGCGUGAUGACGAGGCACUACGGUGCUGAAGCAACAAAUGCCCUGCUUCCAGGAAAAGCCUCUAAGCAUCAGGUAACAUCAAAUCGUACCCCAAACCGACACAGGUGGUCAGGUAGAGAAUACCAAGGCGCUUGAGAGAACUCGGGUGAAGGAACUAGGCAAAAUGGUGCCGUAACUUCGGGAGAAGGCACGCUGAUAUGUAGGUGA